rnacentral:misc_RNA from 1 species
CUGGCUUUUGGUUGCUUGCUCUGCCUUUGUGUUGGGUGGGUGGCUACUGGCUGGGGCAGUUUCGGGGAAUGUCGACCGUAAAGGUGCAUGAGUGGUGUUUGGUUUGUUAUGGGUGGUUGGCUGUCUGCUUGUGCAGCAACGUCCACGCAUGCAUACCUCUUCAUUUUAGCGACAAGGCUCAUUUUGCCUUGAGCGUUCUGUGGGUUUCCUGUGUUGCAUACCUAAUCGAUGGUAAUCUGUUGAUCAAUCAUUGUUCCCUUUCGUCAUGCGUCGCUCUUGCGCGGUGGGGCGAACCUCGUAGCNUUCUUUAUGACCCACCUUGUCAAUGUCCAUGCAUUUGAUGAGUUGGGCCAUUGAGCAUUGCUUGGUCUCUUGGAUACGGAACCUUAUGCGGGCAUGGGAUCGUACUUGAUCCCUCAUUUGCCCCUGUUAAGCGUUCUCGCUUCUCCAAAACGACUGCUCGUCACGUGUUGGCAUGUCC